UACGGAGGGGGUUAGCGUUGUUCGGAAUUACUGGGCGUAAAGCGCACGUAGGCGGACUGGAAAGUUGGGGGUGAAAUCCCGGGGCUCAACCUCGGAACUGCCUCCAAAACUAUCAGUCUAGAGUUCGAGAGAGGUGAGUGGAAUUCCAAGUGUAGAGGUGAAAUUCGUAGAUAUUCGGAGGAACACCAGUGGCGAAGGCGGCUCACUGGCUCGAUACUGACGCUGAGGUGCGAAAGUGUGGGUAGCGAAAGGG
rnacentral:rRNA from 1 species